UACGGGGGGGGCAAGCGUUGUUCGGAAUUACUGGGCGUAAAGGGCUCGUAGGCGGCCAACUAAGUCGGACGUGAAAUCCCCAGGCUCAACCUGGGAACUGCAUCCGAUACUGGAUGGCUUGAAUUCGGGAGAGGGAUGCAGAAUUCCGGGUGUAGCGGUGAAAUGCGUAGAUAUCUGGAGGAAUACCGGUGGCGAAGGCGGCAUCCUGGACCGACAUUGACGCUGAGGAGCGAAAGCCAGGGGAGCAAACGGG
rnacentral:rRNA from 1 species